UGGGGAAUAUUGGACAAUGGGCGAAAGCCUGAUCCAGCCAUGCCGCGUGUGUGAAGAAGGUCUUCGGAUUGUAAAGCACUUUAAGUUGGGAGGAAGGGCAUUAACCUAAUACGUUAGUGUUUUGACGUUACCGACAGAAUAAGCACCGGCUAACUCUGUGCCAGCAGCCGCGGUAAUACAGCGGGUGCAAGCGUUAAUCGGAAUUACUGGGCGUAAAGCGCGCGUAGGUGGUUUGUUAAGUUGGAUGUGAAAUCCCCGGGCUCAACCUGGGAACUGCAUUCAAAACUGACUGACUAGAGUAUGGUAGAGGGUGGUGGAAUUUCCUGUGUAGCGGUGAAAUGCGUAGAUAUAGGAAGGAACACCAGUGGCGAAGGCGACCACCUGGACUAAUACUGACACUGAGGUGCGAAAGCGUGGGGAGCAAACA
rnacentral:rRNA from 1 species